UACAGAGGUGGCAAGCGUUGUUCGGAAUUACUGGGCGUAAAGGGCGCGUAGGCGGCCUUCUAAGUCAGACGUGAAAUCCCCAGGCUUAACUUGGGAACUGCGUCUGAUACUGGGAGGCUUGAGUGCGGGAGAGGGAUGUGGAAUUCCUGGUGUAGCAGUGAAAUGCGUAGAGAUCAGGAGGAAUACCGAUGGCGAAGGCAGGUCCCUGGGUUGACACUGACGCUCAUGCACGAAAGCGUGGGGAGCAAACAGG
rnacentral:rRNA from 1 species